CCUGGCGGCUUUAGCGCGGUGGUCCCACCUGACCCCAUGCCGAACUCAGAAGUGAAACGCCGUAGCGCCGA
rnacentral:rRNA from 1 species